UACAGAGGUCCCAAGCGUUGUUCGGAUUUACUGGGCGUAAAGGGUGCGUAGGUGGCGGGGUAAGUCUGGUGUGAAAGCUCCGAGCUCAACUCGGAAAAGCAUUGGAAACUAUCCCGCUUGAGGGUCGGAGGGGAGACUGGAAUUCUCGGUGUAGCAGUGAAAUGCGUAGAUAUCGAGAGGAACACCAGUGGCGAAGGCGAGUCUCUGGACGACUCCUGACACUGAUGCGCGAAAGCCAGGGGAGCGAACGGG
rnacentral:rRNA from 1 species